GAAAUUUCAAAAAAGAAAUAAGGAGAAACCCGUUUUCAUACAGUCUAAACUGCUGAUGAAGCCACUUUCUGAGAGGUGGAUAAGCCAAGUUCAUAUUCCAGUUCUGAGCCACAGAGAUGGGAAUGGAAUGGAUAAUGACUGAGCUGGAAGAAGAAGAAAGUAUUGUUAGGAGAUACUGUGCCAAGUACUCUAUUGCAUCUUCCUGCAGAAAGUCAUCUGUUUUGUAAUGGACAACCACAACCCCUUCUGAAGAGUUCCAUCUCCAUCAGCCCCUCCUCAACUGAAUACAAGAAGGAAAAUUUCAGCUGGUCCUCUGGAAAAUUUUGGAAGGCAUCCCUUAAUAAAAAAUACGAGACAUGUCUUGAUCCAGUUUUUCUCAUGAUCUGUGCAGUGUCAAUUUGGUGUGCAAGUGUGAGACUGAAUCAUUAAUAUGGUGUUAGCUCAGCAGUUUUAGUCAUGAAGCUCAUCUGAGCACAAAGCUGUACAUCUGGAGAUUUCAUGUGAGUAUCACUCAGGCUGGGAAGGGCAAAGCAAUGGCAAGUUACUGCCAGAGGUGUUUGUACUUUAAUAAUUCAUAUUGUGUCUUUGGUUUUUGGAUCUCUCAAUCUGUUUUGAUGAAAACCUACUGACAAAAGUAUGAAGAAGGAAGAAGCAACAAUUGUUGGAAGACUCUACCACGGCUGGUGGGAAAGUGCUUGUAGUGGGAGCUACAAAGAGCAGUAAGCAAUAUCCUAUCCUAUCCUGCUGAAAGCAAAGGAAGAAGGUCCUAACAUCUGCCAGCAAGGUGAACUAUAACUGAGAGUCUGCAUCGAUUUGCCUGUUCAGAGAAAGUUUUUUAUUCACUGUUUCUCACCACAAUAGUCAGAAAUGACACUGUGCUACAUCACUAGAUUAUUUUUGAUGCCUUGAUUUGUGAAACCUUCUUGCUAGGCAAUGGAUAAAUCUGCCUGUGCUGCUUGGUUUUUUAGAGGGCAUUAAUUUUCAAAAGAAUCUCAUUUAAUUCAUAACACUUUACCCUAAAUAUUA
rnacentral:lncRNA from 1 species